rnacentral:rRNA from 1 species
UACGUAGGGUGCGAGCGUUAAUCGGAAUUACUGGGCGUAAAGUGUGCGCAGGCCGCCGAGCAAGUCGAGUGUGAAAGCCCCGAGCUUAACUUGGGAACUGCGCUCGAAACUACUUGGCUAGAGUGUGGCAGAGGGAGGUGGAAUUCCACGUGUAGCGGUGAAAUGCGUAGAGAUGUGGAGGAACACCUGUGGCGAAGGCGGCCCCCUGGUUGGAUACUGACGCUGAGACGCGAAAGCGUGGGGAGCAAACAGG